rnacentral:rRNA from 1 species
UACGUAGGGUGCGAGCGUUGUCCGGAAUUAUUGGGCGUAAAGAGCUUGUAGGCGGUUUGUCGCGUCUGCCGUGAAAAUCCGGGACUCAACCCCGGACCUGCGGUGGGUACGGGCAGACUAGAGUGUGGUAGGGGAGACUGGAAUUCCUGGUGUAGCGGUGAAAUGCGCAGAUAUCAGGAGGAACACCGAUGGCGAAGGCAGGUCUCUGGGCCACUACUGACGCUGAGAAGCGAAAGCGUGGGGAGCGAACAGG